AAAACACGUACAUAGAUAUAACCAAGCAUAUUAAAAGAUUCUAUCAUAAUCAGUUAACCCUUCACUAGAAUCUAAAGAAUCUAGAUUCUUUAGGCUUUUGUCAUAAUUCUGAUGUUCAAAUAUUUUGAUGUCAGAAUUUUGUAUGCAGUUAAGAAAUCUUGAGGGAUUCAAGAUAUCUUAACUUUGAUGGGUUGCUAUGGCUACUAGUAGAGACAAGAGGCGAUUUGUUUAGCUAGUCAGACAUAGCUAUAUCAAUUAAGUAAUCAAUGAUUUACGAGUAAGGUUUAAAAUGUAUUGAUAACGUACCAAAGUGGAGUAGAAUGAUGUGAUGGUCACCGAGGCUGUAGCAGACGUUAAUGGCUGUGGAUAGAUGGGUAAGUACUGAAACACUUUUGUUAACACAUGCAUUUGGGAAGGUACCUUUUAUAAUGGGGGAGAGAGGGCUGCAGGAUUCGCAGUAAACUUUCUUUAGAUGAUUGUAGCCCUCGCCUUUUUAUUCAGUAAGAAAUCUAUGCAUGACCCUACUAUAGUGUCAACAAGGAAAAAUCUUUCGUCAAAAAAUAUAAUUGUUUAAAUCUGCCAAAAAAAUUAUUUUUUUUUACUAUUGACCCUCCCCUCUGAUGCCCAAGCUCCUCCCCCAAUGAAAGACGUAUCUUCUUUCGUUCUUGAGUUCGUUUCAUUUCGUGAACCGGACCGGAACUGUUCUAUAAUUGGAUCAAAUCUUUCAUCUCCAGUCUUCUCAUUCAUACCUUUUCGUGUUAGUUGUCCUAUUGAUUGAUUGCUUCAUUCAUUAAACAGAUUUAACCCUCCAUUUCUUUCUUCUUCUUUUCUCCCUCACUCCCAUUCGUUCUUUUAUUCUUUUUUUAUUCAUUUAUUCAAUCGUUGGCCUUUUUUUUCUUCACCCAUCCACUUCUUAUUUCGCUUUGUUUUUKUAUUCGUUUCUUUUUCCACACAGGAAGCCCAUCAGUGUAAAGACAACAGUGAUGAACAACUAAACCAAAGAUAAUGACGUCACAACAGUUGAAAUACGUCACCAGACUGUGCUCAGAAUGAUGCAGACAGACAGACAAACCUAAAACUAAAUAARCAUAUUCAAAUAGUUAGUUAAGUAGUCAAAAGUUAAUCUUUAAAUGGAUAUAUCACUGAAGUAUAUAAUUAGAGAUGUGAAUAUGAA